AUUAAGAUGCUAUUAAAAUAUCAAAUUCAAUAUACAGUUUAUUAAUAUAAUGAACAUGUAUAUAGUGUUUUCCUCCCACACCGCAAAACGUGGCUAAUGUGGCAUAAUGAACUAAGAUGAUAAAGACCAAACUCAAUGCUCUUCAUUAUUAAAAUUUAGCCUACAUAACUA